rnacentral:rRNA from 1 species
AAUGAACGCUGGCGGCAUGCCUAAUACAUGCAAGUCGAACGAGAACUCCGGGUCCAGUCUCCUCUGGCUUUGUCACCCGUCGGAACCUUCCCUUAGGUUUGGCCUACCUCCCCGACAGGGGUGCCAACACCGGACCAUGUCUUCUGCCCAAAGAUUUAUCGCCCUUGGAUGGGCCCGCGUUGGAUUAGCUUGUUGGUAGGGUAAAAGCCUACCAAGGCGACGAUUCAUAGCUGGUCUGAGAGGAUGAUCAGCCACACUGGGACUGAGACACGGCCCAGACUCCUACGGGAGGCAGCAGUGGGGAAUAUUGGACAAUGGGCGAAAGCCUGAUCCAGCAAUGCCGCGUGAGUGAUGAAGGCCUUAGGGUUGUAAAGCUCUUUUACCCGGGAUGAUAAUGACAGUACCGGGAGAAUAAGCUCCGGCUAACUCCGUG